GCACGGCCAUGCGGUACAGUAAUUCGACGAGAUUUUACAAGCACGUGGCGAGUUAACGAGGGAGUGCAGUUGACCCGAGUGUGACGGUAUGAAGACGCGAGAUUCACGGCAAAUUACAAGAGGCCAUAAACCGCGGGACAAAACUUUCUCGAAACUUGUCGUCGUCGUCGUGGUCGUAGUAUACGUGACAAAUCUUACGUCAGUGCUACGUAACAGUGUUUAUACGUAUCCUGCCUUCACCGAUGCUAUAUGCCUUGUAUAAACAUUUCACGCAAAACGACGAAGGUUAACGAGUUAGAACGAAGCCAGAUUAUCGAGGCAACUAUUCGUUAUGUUGGAACGCUAGUGAACGCGCGUGAUAUUCGCACGUAAAUAUGCACGGUAUAUCGUAUAUACGGCGUAGUGUAUCGUGUAAUGGCGUUUAAAAAUAGCGAGACGAAUAUCCGUCUAACGAUGUACGGAAUGUAACGGGAUAUUUAGUUAUAAUAUAAUGAUAUAGUUAUAAAUAGAUUGUUUUAUUUUAUGUUGUGUUAUAAAGAUAGUAGUAAUCAUCGAUGAUUGAAAAUGUUUGUGCAAUGCAAGUACGAAAUUGAAUGGAAUAUUUGACGCGCAAAUAACUUUAUAUUCAUACUCGGAGAACUGCGCAAUAGGAUAUUAAAAUAAUUAAUUGAAGCCCGUUUCGAAUCUAAAAUUACAAAUGUGAGGCUACGUGCUACACGGAUGCGGAAAGGAUAAUGCGGUAACAUUUUGCGGCGAUGAGAGGGACUAACGAGUGAGGCCACGCGGACAAGCAUCGUACAAGGAUGAACAAGAUGGAGAAAGACGAACACAUCAUGCACGGUAACCGGCACCGUGUGCAAUGAUAGUCCACGUUAACGACCGUCGAGAGUUACAAGGCUGCAAACUGGACGCCCGGCAGACGAGACUAGACGAAACGAGACCCGUUUGCCGGCCAACCUUAAUUGCCGGCCAGGGAUUUACAGCGGUUUGCAAAGCAAAGGAAUCUUCUCGCAUGUGUCUGGAAUUUUUCUAAAAGAAAAAAUUCGUCGGGGACUCUCACUAAACUAUGCAGAGGAUAAUAUGAUGAGAAUUGAGGGACGAGUUUAAUUAGAAUGAUAUAUACGUUCGAAAAUCGCAUCGAAUUAUUUGCAACUCCAUUAAAACGAUAUCAAAAAACACUUUGAUAUCGAGGGAUACAAGAACCAAGAAUUAUGUGCUCACUGUAUCACUAUCGAAAUCGACAACUUCGUACACGUUAUCAAAAUAUGAAUCAAUUCGAGAUCUACGAAUGGACGUCUCAAUCAAAUCAAAUUGAACUCACUUUUGAAUUCAGAUCGAAGAAUAUAUACGUAAGAAUUAACAACAUAGUAUACAAUUCAAAAAUCGCAUCGAAUUAUCCAAGGAUACCGCCAAAAUAUCUCAAAAUAAAUUCGAGAUCUAGCAUCGAAUUAUCCAAGGAUCAACGAUACCACCAAAAUAUCUUAAAAUUAAUUCUAGAGCUACGAAUAGGUACAAAGACACCUCACCAAUCAAAUCAAAUAGUUAACAACGUAAUAUACAGGUCAAAAAUAGCACCGAAUUAUCUAAGGAUCACCAAUCAAAUCAAAGGGUUAACAACGUAGUAUACAAUUCAAAAAUCGAAUUACUUUAAUUAUCAAGAAUACCAUCAACAAUAUCUUAAAUUUGAGACCAACGAAUGGGUAAAAGAGUAUCUCACCAAUCAAAUCAAAGACUUAACAACGUAGUACACAAUUCAAAAAUCGCAUCGAAUUAGCCAAGGAUCAACGAUAUCGUCAAAAUAUCUUAAAAUUAAUAUUGGAAAAAGAGUAUCUCACCAAUCAAAUCAAAGGGUUAACAACAUAGUAUAUACAAUUCAAAAAUCGCAUCGAAUUACUCCAAUUAUCAAGAAUACCACUAACAAUAUCUUAAAUUCUAGAUCUACGAAUGGGUAAGAGGACAUCUCACCAAUCAAAUCAAAGGGUUAACAAUAUAAUAUAGAAUUCAAAAAUCGAAUUAUCCAAGGAUCAAUGAUAUCGUCAAAAUAUCUGAAAAUCAAUUCGAGAUCUAGCAUCGAAUUAUCCAAGGAUCAACAAUACUUUAACAAAUAUUUUAUUUUUAUUAGCCAACAAAUAUUUUAAAUUCAAGACUUACGAAUAGGUAAAAUGGCGUCCCACCAAAUCAAACACAAAGGGUUAACAACGCAGUGUACAAUUCAAAAAUCGCAUCGAAUUACUCCAAUUAUCAAGAAUUAUCAAGAAUACCACUAACAAUAUCUUAAAUUCUAGACCUACAAAUGGGUAAGAGGACAUCUCACCAAUCAAAUCAAAGUGUUAACAAUAUAAUACAGAAUUCAAAAAUCGCAUCGAAUUAUCCAAGGAUCAAUGAUAUCGUCAAAAUAUCUGAAAAUCAAUUCGAGAUCUAGCAUCGAAUUAUCCAAGGAUCAACAAUACUUUAACAAAUAUUUUAAGAAAUAUUAUAUAUAUAUUUUAUUUUAACAAAUAUUUUAUUUUUAUUAACCAACAAAUAUUUUAAAUUCAAGAUUUACGAAUGGGUAAAAUGGCGUCCGACCAAAUCAAAGGGUUAACAACGCAGUGUACAAUUCAAAAAUCGGAUCGAAUUAUCCAAGGCAAAAUACCUUAAAAUCAACUCGAGUCGAGUCGAAAGCUCGACAACUCCUUCCGCUCCCUCGCAGCUGUUGAAAACCCGUUCGAGCGCUUGGCCGCCAAAAUCGCGGUUCAAAAAUUUGGGCCGACGACUCUCAACUUAUAUAUAUAUAAUUAUUAAAAUGAAUAAUAUAAUAUAAAUUUACAAAUAAAUUUUUAUUAAA